CCUACGGGUGGCAGCAGUGGGGAAUAUUGGACAAUGGGCGCAAGCCUGACCCAGCAACGCCGCGUGAAGGAAGAAGGCUUUCGGGUUGUAAACUUCUUUUCUCAGGGACGAAGAAAGUGACGGUACCUGAGGAAUAAGCCACGGCUAACUACGUGCCAGCAGCCGCGGUAAUACGUAGGUAGCAAGCGUUAUCCGGAUUUAGUGGGUGUAAAGGGCGUGUAGGCGGGAACGCAAGUCAGAUGUGAAAACUCAGGGCUCAACCCUGAGACUGCAUUUGAAACUGUGUUUCUUGAGUGUUGGAGAGGCAAUUGGAAUUCCUGGUGUAGCGGUGAAAUGCGUAGAUAUACGGAGGAACACCAGUGGCGAAGGCGGAUUGCUGGACAAUAACUGACGCUGAGGCGCGAAAGCGUGGGGAGCAAACAGGAUUAGAUACCCGAGUAGUC
rnacentral:rRNA from 1 species